UUAACCUAGCCUCACCUCCUCCUUUCCUCACUCAGCCACUCCCCUCUGCAAAAAAUCCAGCCUCUCUCGAUCAGAUGGAAGGGUUGGCGUCUACAAUGGCGUAUCAUAAUGGUGGCCAUGGCGGCUACGAAAUCCCAUCUCCAAACUACAGUGGAAUGGUGGUGAUUAUUCCAGGUUCACGUUUUGAAAAAGAAACAUAAAGACAAAAUGGCGGAAAAAAGGUAUAUUCGUCCAACUUAUUGUUCUACUAUACAUAUAUGAAUAUGGAAUCGGCUUUGGUGUUAAGUACGUGUGUUGUAUGUAUACGUAUGUGGAGCUAGCAGAAAUUGUAUUUAUGUAUGUGGACCAGAAAUAUGUAUGUUUGUUUUACAUAUUUUGGGGGUUAGGUUUGUU